rnacentral:rRNA from 1 species
CUGAAGAGUUUGAUCAUGGCUCAGAUUGAACGCUGGCGGCAGGCCUAACACAUGCAAGUCGAGCGGUAACAGAGAGAAGCUUGCUUCUUUGCUGACGAGCGGCGGACGGGUGAGUAACGCGUAGGAAUCUACCUAUUAGUGGGGGAUAAGCCAGAGAAAUUUGGUCUAAUACCGCAUACGCCCUACGGGGGAAAGGAGGGGCUCUUCGGACCUUUCGCUAUUAGAUGAGCCUGCGUAAGAUUAGCUAGUUGGUGAGGUAAGAGCUCACCAAGGCGACGAUCUUUAGCUGGUCUGAGAGGAUGAUCAGCCACACUGGGACUGAGACACGGCCCAGACUCCUACGGGAGGCAGCAGUGGGGAAUAUUGGACAAUGGGGGCAACCCUGAUCCAGCCAUGCCGCGUGU